AUGAGGAAGAUGCGUCGCCUAUUAAAAUGUCUGGCGGCUGUUACAUUUGCUUUCUAGCACUUUUCUAUUCUCGUUUCCUUUUUUUGUACCUUCCCCUUUUGAAUUUUCCAUCGUAUAAGCCUCAGAAAUUUGGUAGACACUUAAUGAUGAAUAGGUUGGGUUAGAUUUGAUUUGAGAUCUUGAGUCACCAGGCAGUCCCAAUUUUUUUUACGAAAUAUUAGGAGUGUGCUGAUGUCAGCAUAGAUGAUGUAUUAUACAUGUUUUGUGUGGUUUGCUAUAUUUCUACUUAUAGAUGGCUAAAAUCUGAGUUUGAGAGCAGCAUGCCACAGAUGCUUGGAUUUUACUAUUGGAUUUUGCUGCCGGAAUAGGGCUUUCGGGACACUUAUUCCUUUGCUUAAGACCAACUCUGUUUUCGCCUUUGCCCCUUCAUCAUUAUACAAAAUGUCUACCAUUACCACACCCACACAUUGAUAUUAUGACUAAUUGUUUAUUAGCUAAGUUCCCAUGGCCACUUUUUACUUUUUUCUCAUUUUCUUAUUUUUAUUAUAUUUUCUGUCACUUCUGAAGUGACGGAAAAGAGGAGUUUGAAUUAGAUUUGCAAAACGGGCGGUAUCAAGAAUACUGUCACUCUAUAUGUCUAAUUUAUCGUCAACUCUGCAAAAAGAAAAUAGGAAGAAGAAAAUAGGCGGAUAAGAGUAUAUAGAGAAAUGAUUUAUUCUAUUUUUUUUUUCUUUUUCGUUUUUCAGUAGAUUUUUGCCUUUCGAGAGAAUAAAUUCCACUAAAAAGGGUUAAAGAAAAAUCUAUUCACUGAACUUAUUGAUGAAAACUUUAAAUGCGUCAAGUACAUCAAAAGAGGAAACAGAGGGAAAGAACCAGGUUGGCAAACAAGCAAAAAGGCAAGGACGAACCUUCCUCAAGCACUGAAUGUUUUGCGAGUGAAUGGUAAGCGCGAGAAAUGAUGAUACAAGUUGAAAAGACAUAAUUUGAGAUUUUUCAAAAUAGAUUAUUUUAGACAUCCUACUUUAAUCAUUUUUGAUGAAUCAAUACGGUAUUUUUGUCGCUUCCUUAUUACAGUAAUGCAGACAUUAACUUCUGAGCGGAAGGAACCGUGUGUUCAGUUUAUGGAUUUUCGUGUAAAGCGUUUUUUCGGUUGCGAUAGCAGUUACUUACUUUCCUCGAUGCCUUUGAUGCAUUCAGAUAAUUUUUGGAACAUUU
rnacentral:telomerase_RNA from 14 species